rnacentral:rRNA from 1 species
AAGCMWGAYWUGGCUAAMAGUGAAACUGGCGGCGUCWUGGKCAAUGCAAGUCGAACGAUGAAGWKUUCGGGGUGGAUUAGUGGCGCACGGGUGAGUAAUAUAUAGUUAAUGUACCUUCAAGACUGGGAUAGCCACUGGAAACGGUGAUUAAUACUAGAUAUACCUCUCUAACAUAAGUUAGAGUGGGAAAUGUUUUUUCGCUUGAAGAUCAGACUAUAUCCCAUCAGUUUGUUGGUGAGGUAAUGGCUCACCAAGGCAAUGACGGGUAGCGGGUUUGAGAGGAUGAUCCGCCACACUGGUACUGAGACACGGACCAGACUCCUACGGGAGGCAGCAGUGAGGAAUAUUGCACAAUGGGGGAAAUCCUGAUGCAGCAACGCCGCGUGGAGGAUGACGCAUUUCGGUGUGUAAACUCCUUUUAUGAGUCAAGAUAAUGACGGUACCUAAUGAAUAAGCACCGGCUAACUCCGUGCCAGCAGCCGCGGUAAUACGGAGGGUGCAAGCGUUACUCGGAAUCACUGGGCGUAAAGGGUGCGUAGGCUGGCUUCUAAGUCAGAUGUGAAAUCCAAUGGCUCAACCAUUGAACUGCAUUUGAAACUGGGAGCCUAGAGUUCAGAAGGGGCAGAUGGAAUUAGUGGUGUAAGGGUAAAAUCCGUAGAUAUCACUAGGAAUAUCAAAAGCGAAGGCGAUCUGCUGGGAUGAUACUGACGCUGAGCACGAAAGCGUGGGGAGCAAACAGGAUUAGAUACCCUGGUAGUYCACGCCCUAAACGAUGAAUGCUAGUCGUCGGGAAGCUCGUCUUUUCAGUGACGCACUUAACAGAUUAAGCAUUCCGCCUGGGGGAGUACGGUCGCAGAUUAAACUCAAAGGAAUAGACGGACCCGCACAGUGUGAGCAUGUGUUUAGUCGAGAUACACGAGAUCUACUGCCUUGACAUGUAGACCUARARAAWUAGGGUGCUAGCUGCUAGACUACCACAGUGCUGCACGCUGYGUCASCUCCUKCYKKGARAKWUGGGUAAGUUCCSCACGAGGCACCCYYSCCCUAWUUGCUGAMGUCGCUGACCUCUAMGAAAYGCUYSCYUAGAGAAAGUAGGASCUGACUCUUGGCCUUACKCGGGGSUMCACCGGKCUYAWWURKGGGGGCGU